rnacentral:tRNA from 1 species
GCAGUCAUGGUUCAGUGGUAGAAUUCUCAUCUUCCAUGCAGGAGGCCUGGGUUCCAUUCCCAGCCAAUGCA